AUCCCAUCGGCUCAACCGUGGAAUUGCCUCUGAUACUGCGUUGCUUGAGGGAGAUAGGGGCAUCUGGAACUUCCGGUGGAGCGGUGAAAUGUGUUGAUAUCGGAAGGAACGCCGGUGGCGAAAGCGAGAUGCUGGGUCUUUUCUGACGCUGAGGUGCGAAAGCUAGGGUAGCGAACGGGAUUAGAUACCCCGGUAGUCCUAGCCGUAAACGAUGAGCACUGGGUAGAAAGCACUCCGAUGGUGCCUUCUGCCGAAGCGAAAGUGUUAAGUGCUCCGCCUGGGGAGUAUGGUCGCAAGACUGAAACUCAAAGGAAUUGACGGGGGCUCACACAAGCGGUGGAGCAUGUUGCUUAAUUCGAAGCAACGCGAAGAACCUUACCUGGGCUUGACAUGUACGGAUUAGCUCUUGGAAACAUGAGUGACGCCCUCGGGUGGAACGUACACAGGUGCUGCAUGGCUGUCGUCAGCUCGUGCUGUGAAGUGUUGGGUUAAGUCCUUUAACGAGCGCAACCCUUGUCGCUAGUUGCCAGCGCGUUAUGGCGGGGACUCUAGCGAGACUGCCGGUGUCAAACCGGAGGAAGGUGGGGAUGACGUCAAGUCCUCAUGGCCCUUACGCCCAGGGAUGCAAACGUGCUACAAUGGCGUGUACAGAGCGACGCGAUGCCGCGAGGCGGAGCAAAUCGCAAAAAGCACGCCCCAGUUCGGAUAGCAGUCUGCAACU
rnacentral:rRNA from 1 species